rnacentral:rRNA from 1 species
GUGGGGAAUUUUGGACAAUGGGGGCAACCCUGAUCCAGCCAUGCCGCGUGAGUGAAGAAGGCCUUCGGGUUGUAAAGCUCUUUCGGACGGAAAGAAAUUGCCAUCUCUAACAUAGGUGGUAGAUGACGGUACCGUAAGAAGAAGCACCGGCUAACUACGUGCCAGCAGCCGCGGUAAUACGUAGGGUGCGAGCGUUAAUCGGAAUUACUGGGCGUAAAGCGUGCGCAGGCGGUUUUAUAAGACAGGUGUGAAAUCCCCGGGCUUAACCUGGGAACUGCAUUUGUGACUGUAAGGCUAGAGUGCGGCAGAGGGGGGUAGAAUUCCGCGUGUAGCAGUGAAAUGCGUAGAUAUGCGGAGGAAUACCGAUGGCGAAGGCAGCCCCCUGGGUCGACACUGACGCUCAUGCACGAAAGCGUGGGGAGCAAACAGGAUUAGAUACCCUAGUAGUCC